AACCCCUGCAUCAUCAAAUAACCGAAGAAGUUCCAACAUAUCAGAUCUUGGUUUCCUCAUCAUUAAUACAGUUACUUGCUAAUUUACAGAGAAUUCUGACAUUAAAAAAUCUCCUCAUUUCUUAAUAUUUGAAGUAGUAAUAAGAUAGCUGGUGUUUUUUUAAGUUCACUAAUAGCUCUUUUGAAAUCCAAAAUGGGAAUUACAAUUUAAGUAAGUAGGAUGUCAUGGUGCUAAUAAUUAGUAAACCAAGGAGUUACAUGGCAGCGAAAGAGAGGUGGAGUUAUAACAAUAAAGGAUUUAUAUUACUGCUCUAUAAAGGCGGUUUAAUAUCUAGAAAAAAAACAAUAUUUCUCUAGGUAACUAAUAAGUUCUUGGCUUGCUUUACUUUUUAGGAGAUUGUACCUGCCAGAAUAGUUGUGUGAUGAGAACAGUACCAUGAUUGUUUCAAAAUAUACGAGAUAAUGAAUAUAACUUUUCAGCAUAUAUGCUACUUUAGAACAUUAGUUGGUCUCGCCAUUAAUAUCAUUGUCAUAGUUUGCAUCUCUUUCUUUUUGUGCAAUAGAGAAAGAUUUAGAUUAAGUGAUAUAAUUAUGUAUCUCCAGUAAUUUCUAAAAUUUGUUAUUUAGAUCUUAAUUUUUAUGAUUUGCAUUUGUGACCCAUAGGGGAUAUAAUAUUCAAUGGAUAAUGGAGAUAAAAGUUGGAUGGGUCUCUAAAGAUCCACAGAUGAGUAUAUUCGCGGAGUGAAUGAUUUUUUUGAUAAGGCAUUUGAACGGGCUUCCCAAGGUAAUGAAAUAUUAUGCCCUUGCAAAAAAUGUGCUAAUUGUUAUUGGCGUAUUAGAAAUGUGGUCGGGGAUCACUUGGUUGGUUAUGGAUUUAUUCAAGGAUACACCAAAUGAAUUUUCCACGGGAAAAAUAUUUCCUCGAGAAAUAAUCCACAUCCAAGCAAUGGUGAUGAAGGUUCCAACAUGCGUGAUGAUAUUGAUGGACUACUUCAUGACACUUUUAGAAAUGUUGAAGGUGACAUGAGCCAUGAAGAAGGUGUGCGAGAGGGACCAUCUGAAGAUGCAAAAAAAAAAAUUAAAUUAGUGUAGGAAGGAAAACAAGAGUUAUAUCUGGGGCGUGAGAAUUUUUCUAAACUUAGUUUCACCAUUCGAUUGUACUUAAUCAAAUGCAUUCAUGGCUUGAGUAAUGUGGCUUUUUCAGACUUGUUAGUCUUGUUAAAAGAGGCAUUUCCAUUUGCUAAGCUACCCGAGUCUUUUUACAAGGCAAAACAUAUGAUAAAAAACUUGGGUCUUCAUUAUGAAAACAUACAUGUGUGCCCUAAGGAUUGCAUGCUUUUUUGGAAUGAAAAUGAGAAAAAUGAUAAUUGCUCUGUAUGUGGAACUUCUAGAUGGAAGAAUGUUGUUGAUGGCGUGACUAAUGCAAGCUCAAAAAUCCCUGCAAAGGUUUUAAGGUACUUUCCCUUAAAGCCUAGGCUUCAGAGGAUAUUCAUGUGCUCUUAAACAGCUACAGCUAUGAGAUGACAUGCUACUGAACGACUCAAUGAUGGGAAUUUAAGACAUCCUGCUGAUGAGGAAGCAUGGAAGAAUUUUGAUUUCUUGCACAAGGAUUUCUCGGGAUCCUCGUAAUGUUAGAUUGAGUCUUUCAAGUGAUGGUUUUAACUCGUUUCGAACCAUGAGCAUUUCCCAUAGUACAUGGCCUGUUAUGCUAAUGAACUAUAAUUUAUCACUAUGGAUUUGCUUGAAGCCAGAGUAUAUAAUGUUAUCAAUGAUUAUUCCAGGUCCUUCUUCACCAGGAAAUAAUAUAGAUGUAUACUUACAACCACUAAUUGCUGAAUUGAAGGAACUAUGGGAAACAAGGGUAGAAACAUAUGAUGCUAAAUCUGGCCAAACGUUCAAAUGUGUGCAGCCUUGUUGUGGACAGUUAGUGAUUUUCCAGCACUAGCAAUGUUUUUCGGAUGGAGCACCAAGGGGAGACUGGCAUGCCCGACUUGUAAUUAUGACACAUGUUCUCAGUAUCUCAAACAUAGUCGUAAGAUGUGUUACUUGGGUCAUCGGGCAUUUUUGCCUCCUAAUCAUCCAUUUUGAAGAGAUAAGUAAUCAUUUGAUGGUAAAGAGGAUCAUAGAACAACACCUACUCCCUUGUCAGGUGUAGAUGUGUCAGAAGAAUUGGGUGAAUUUAAUCAUGUCUUCGGAAAGGGUCAAAAGAAAUGGCGUCGGGGUAAUGAGGGUCCAUGGAUGAAAAAAUUAAUCUUUUUUGAAUUAUCGUAUUGGGCACAUAACAAAUUGAGACACAAUCUUGAUGUAAUGUACAUCGAGAAGAACAUAUGUGAUAGUUUGCUUGGUACUUUAUUGGAUAUGCCUGGAAAGUAAAAAAAUCAUGUAAAUUCUCGCUAUGACUUGGAAGAGAUGGGGAUACGAAAAGAGCUUCAACCAUUAAAAAAUAAGGAUAAUAAAAAAGUUUAUUUGGCUAAAGCUUGUUUCUCCAUGAAACCAGAAGAGAAAAAGUUGUUUUGCACUGUUUUAAAAAAUGUGAAAUUACCAAAUGGGUGUGGGUAAAAUAUAUCACGACGUGUGGAAGUGGAGGAAAUGAAAGUAUUAGGGUACAAGAGUCAUGAUGCUCAUUUUAUCAUGCAUUACUUGCUCCAGGUUGCAGUUAGAAAAGUGUUGCCCAAGAAUGUUUCUUUGGUCUUGAUUAGGUUGGGGAACUUCCUUAGAGCCAUAUGUAGCAAGGUUAUAAGGCGAAGAGACCUUGAUAAAAUGCAAUCUGAAAUCAAUGAAAUUGAAUGUGACCUUGAAAAGAUCUUUCCUCCAACUUUUUUUGACAUAAUGGAACAUUUGCCUAUCUAUUUAGUAGAUGAAAUUAAGCUUGGAGGUCUGACUCAUUUACGUUGGAUGUAUUCUAUUGAGAGAAAUCUGUGUAAGUAUAAGGCAUUUGUUCGUAACUGAUAUCAUCCAUAAGCGUCAAUAGCGGAGGGAUAUUUGGCCGAAGAGUGUUUGACCUUUUGUUCGAGAUACCUACAUGAUGAGGUGAAAACAAGAUUUAGCAGGUAACAAACAGAAGAUGAUGAAGGGGUUGAAACAGAGGGAGAUGAUAUGUCACCUAUAUUCCCUAAGAUAGGCCAUCCAAUCGGACGUCAGAAGAAAAACAAAGGCAAUGCAUUUAUCAUGGGUUUACAAUUAUGUUUUGAAGCACAUCGAUAUGUUCUGUUCAAUAUCGGAGAUGAACAAAUGGAGAUGUUUAUCCAGGAAUAUAAGAGUUUAAUUGAUAAUAAAACAAGAUCAAAUGCAUGGAUUAAAGCAUGAAAUCAUAGUCAGGAAUUCGGCAACUGGUUCAAAGAGAAAGUUAAAACUGUUGAAGUGCCAAAUCAUUUACGAUGGCUAGCUAAAGGGCCUAAUAUAGUUGCAAAAAGAUAUACUGGAUAUUUCAUCAAUAGAUACCGAUUUCAUACGAUGGACGAGGGGUUAGAAGAACUUCUUUGACAGGAAAAGUGAGAUAUUUUGAAUCCUCUUCAAAUGCUACAAAUGAUAUGGUGCAACAAAUGGAAGAAAGGAUGACAAUAAUGUUCGAGGAACAGAAGGAACAAUUUGAGAAACAGAAGGAACAAUAUGAGGAACAAAAGAGAAUGAUGCGACAAGAAAUUCUAGGAGAUAUCUUUGUACAGCUUCAGCGUUCAGGAUUGCAAAUUGAUCCUAAUAUUUUAGCAAACUUGUGUGCUCGUUCACCAAGAGAAGCUUCGUCUGCACAAUAAGUAGCUAUUCAACCAAUCAACAGGCCAUCUUUUGGCAGCAACAAUCAAGGUGAACCAAAUGAUCAAGGGGGAGAUGAAAGCUGUGAAGACCUUACCUAAAAGUAUUGGUUGAAGAAUCUUCAGACAAUCUAGGAAUGUUUUUAUUUUUGAACUAUUUUGCAAACUUAUGUAUUCCAACUCUUGGAUUAUUAAACAUUUUUAUCGUAUAUUUUACUUUUAUAAAUGGA